AUAGUUUGCGGAACUCCAUUGUGGUGACAAUAGCGCGGCUUCCUCUGGGACAGUAUAUAUAGUGUAGUCUAGGAUUUGAAGUCAUCAGUUCAUCUGACCUGAGCAACAUGAAGGUACUCGGAGUAAUUUUGGCCGUUUUUGCAAUCGUUUUCGCUGUGGUGAGCGGAAUGCACGUGGCAGGUCCGACAGCGGGGCUGCAGGCGGCGCCGUCGCCGGCCGGCUGCAUGGGCGGCGGGUACGGACCCCCUCCCCCGCCACCGCCUACCAACAACUCCGGUUGAACAAACAUCUCAGAAAACCAUAUUACAUAUCGACGAUUGGCUUAUUUGACAAAUGGAAUAAAUGAUUUUUUUCUUA